rnacentral:rRNA from 1 species
UACAGAGGUCUCAAGCGUUGUUCGGAUUCAUUGGGCGUAAAGGGUGCGUAGGCGGCGCGGUAAGUCGGGUGUGAAAUCUCGGAGCUUAACUCCGAAACUGCAUUCGAUACUGCCGUGCUUGAGGACUGGAGAGGAGACUGAAAUUUACGGUGUAGCGGUGAAAUGCGUAGAUAUCGUAAGGAAGACCAGUGGCGAAGGCGGCUUCCUGGCCUGUUCUUGACGCUGAGGCGCGAAAGCUAGGGGAGCAAACGGG